rnacentral:rRNA from 1 species
GACGAACGCUGGCGGCGUGCUUAACACAUGCAAGUCAACGAGAAAGAGGUAGCAAUAUCUCGAGUAAAGUGGCGAAAGGGUGAGUAAUAUGUAAGUAACCUACCUAUGGGUUUGGAAUAACUCGUCGAAAGACGGGAUAAUACCGAAUAAUGCAGCGGCACCACAUGGUGAUGUUGUUAAAGCUCUUGUAGCGCCUAUAGAUGGGCUUGCAUCUGAUUAGCUAGUUGGUAGGGUAACUGCCUACCAAGGCAAUGAUCAGUAGCUGGUCUGAGAGGAUGAUCAGCCACACUGGAACUGAGACACGGUCCAGACUCCUACGGGAGGCAGCAGUGAGGAAUAUUGGGCAAUGGACGAAAGUCUGACCCAGCAACGCCGCGUGGAGGAUGACGGCCGUAAGGUUGUAAACUCCUUUUGAAGGGGACGAAAAUUUCGAUAACAUCGAAACUUGAACUGUACCCUUAGAAGAAGCCCCGGCUAACUACGUGCCAGCAGCCGAC